GUGCUCACUUCUGCAGCACAUAUAGUAAAACUGGAACAAUAUAGAGAAGAUUAGCAUGACCCCUGGGCAAGGAUGACAUGCAAAUUCGUGAAGUGUUCCAUAUUAAA
ensembl:snRNA U6 U6 spliceosomal RNA